rnacentral:lncRNA from 1 species
ACAGGCACACAACAACAAAUAGCUACACACACAAUAUAUAUAUAAGUCAAACAAAAUAUGUAAGUACAGUGCUGAUCCUUUAUUCAAAUCUCUGGCGACUAUGGAUCGUGCGUGCGUGCGUGUAUAUAUAUACACAUGGAUAUACACGGAGCGAGGCGGUUCAUGCGUAAGGGUCGACGUUCGCAGUGGCCUCCAGCGUCCUGCGGUGUGGCGCAAGGGCAAACGUCCCCGGCGGCGGCAGCAGAGACGAAGCGGUGACCUUGCCGUAGCCGCAGCCGGGGCAGGUUGUCGACUUGUUGACUGAGGCCGUGGGCGACGGAGGGCAUCGUCCGUGAUGACUUCCGUCCAGAGCAACUGCAUGGGAAUGUUACUGCAUGAUUUCGUGUUUCUGGGUAUGAUAUGAAGAGAGUAGGAAGCAACAAGAGAUGAGUAGUCGUUUACCACGGCCCGCCGCCGCCAAGCAUGCCAAGGAGAAAAACAUGAUAGCCAGCACGGCUAUGGGGCGCGCGAGGGAAGAAGAAGGCCGCUCCAUGAAUG